GAGUUUGAUCCUGGCUCAGAACGAACGCUGGCGGCAUGCCUAACACAUGCAAGUCGAACGAUCCCUUCGGGAUAGUGGCGCACGGGUGCGUAACGCGUGGGAACCUGCCCUUAGGUUCGGAAUAACUCAGAGAAAUUUGAGCUAAUACCGGAUAAUGUCUUCGGACCAAAGAUUUAUCGCCUUUGGAUGGGCCCGCGUUGGAUUAGCUAGUUGGUGGGGUAAAGGCCUACCAAGGCGACGAUCCAUAGCUGGUCUUAGAGGAUGAUCAGCCACACUGGGACUGAGACACGGCCCAGACUCCUACGGGAGGCAGCAGUGGGAAUAUUGGACAAUGGGCGAAAAGCCUGAUCCAGCAAAUGCCGCGUGAGUGAUGAAGGCCCUAGGGUUGU
rnacentral:rRNA from 1 species